rnacentral:rRNA from 1 species
GAUGAACGCUGGCGGCGUGCCUAAUACAUGCAAGUCGAGCGAACAGAUAAGGAGCUUGCUCCUUUGACGUUAGCGGCGGACGGGUGAGUAACACGUGGGUAACCUACCUAUAAGACUGGAAUAACUCCGGGAAACCGGGGCUAAUGCCGGAUAACAUUAAGAACCGCAUGGUUCUAAAGUGAAAGAUGGUUUUGCUAUCACUUAUAGAUGGACCCGCGCCGUAUUAGCUAGUUGGUAAGGUAACGGCUUACCAAGGCAACGAUACGUAGCCGACCUGAGAGGAUGAUCGGCCACACUGGAACUGAGACACGGUCCAGACUCCUACGGGAGGCAGCAGUAGGGAAUCUUCCGCAAUGGGCGAAAGCCUGACGGAGCAACGCCGCGUGAGUGAUGAAGGUCUUCGGAUCGUAAAACUCUGUUAUUAGGGAAGAACAAAUGUGUAAGUAACUGUGCACGUCUUGACGGUACCUAAUCAGAAAGCCACGGCUAACUACGUG